UACGUAGGGUGCAAGCGUUGUCCGGAAUUAUUGGGCGUAAAGAGCUCGUAGGCGGUUUGUCGCGUCGGCUGUGAAAUCUCGGGGCUUAACCCCGAGCCUGCAGUCGAUACGGGCAGACUUGAGUUCGGUAGGGGAGACUGGAAUUCCUGGUGUAGCGGUGAAAUGCGCAGAUAUCAGGAGGAACACCGGUGGCGAAGGCGGGUCUCUGGGCCGGAACUGACGCUGAGGAGCGAAAGCGUGGGGAGCGAACAGG
rnacentral:rRNA from 1 species